CUUUUUCUUUCUUUCCUUCUUUUUUAUUUUUUAAUCAAUGGUCUUAAUAUAUAUAUAUUGUUUUCACAAUUUGCUGUAUUAUUGAAUCUUAUGAAAGCUAAAUAGAGAAUUAUGUUGCAUAGCCUUUUCUGUUUCAUAUGUUACAUUUUAGACAGCAAUAGUUAAGUUAUAUGUUGGCUUGUGUGUGUACAUGUCAGGUUAGGUAUACAUCUCAAAACAACACUGGUUUCCCAACUUGUAAGCUUCUCACCUGCGUUAUUUGUCGUUUGAUCACAUAAUGAAAAGAUCGAUAGCGGCCUGUUUGUCUAAGCGAUAGUGUCAACAGAUUAAGGGAACAGCAAUGAGAUCGACUUGGUCUGAAAAUACACAGAGAUAAACAAGAGAACACGCACACACACACACACUGCUGAUACAGGCUGGUGAAUAUCAUAUCCUUGUCCUCCCCUUUCUACCCAAACGAACACACUUUCAUCGAUUGUUAAUGAAUACAGCAACACAUAAAAAAAACACAAACACAAAGAAAGAAAGGCUACAUUCUUGUCAGCACAAGCAGAGCAGAGAUCGUGUAACAGUUUGGUAAAGUUACAUUUCAAAAGGGUGCCCUAGACGGCCAGUAAGAGGGUUGGUGUUUAGCGGAAGGUCGAGGCUAGGCAGUCCGAACAAGAGCAGUGAGAGACAGGCAACGUCUACAUGCAGGGGAGUGCAAAGCGAGACCGUUACAAACAUUGUUCAAGACAACAUCAAAAUUACAAACCUCAGAUGAUAACGAGGACGUCGACAGACUACAGCUACAAAGGGGCAUGAGUGCAUGUCGUGCAGAUGAACUUUCUCGAGAUGUAGCUCGGCAUUUUACAGCGGAGGACCAGGAAUCUGAAAUGGAGGACAGAUGAAAAUGUAGGCCAAUGUUGAGAGUUCUAUCUGUACCCUGCUGAACUACCGUGUGGUAGCGUCCUGCAAUGGAGCGUCCUGAUUGGUGAAAGAUCUGAGGGUUCUAAUGUACAACAAAUGGAGUUCCGAGUACUCGGCACGCUAAUGUAAUAAUACACAUGGACAGGUAACAAUGGUCCAGGAGCCGCUGCUGUCCAUUCUUUCUGAAUAAGGCAGCCAGUGAAGGUGACUGGCAUGCCCCAUUACAAUAACAAGGCACUGGUAUUCUGCAGUUAGGCAUUAGUUAUGUAUUGUUUUCCAUGUAAUGAUCUCAUUCCCUGGUCUGUUCAUUAACUUUUUAAAUACACAUGUAUCCACCUAGGGAAAAUAUUAGUCUGGUGGCUUGUUGAAGAUGUAGAAACUGACAGACAGUGCUCUGAAUAGUAAAAAAGCUCUUACACUAAAGUACACGCCACAUGUUUCUUGUUGGGCUUCAAAAUCCUUUCUUACAUUUGCUGAAGGGUAAAAAAAAAAAGAAAUCUGAAAUAGUUGUUUCUGGGGUUUCCUGGACAGACCAUCUAAAAAUAAGUCGCUAUCUUUUAAAUUUUGGAUAAUGAAGUUUCUAUGAAGCCUAUACCCUUUAAAUAUACAAACUAAAUACCAAGAAGGCAGUAUAUAUUAUACCCCCUUUAGCCAUGAUUUUUGACCACAUUUGUGACCCCAGAGCCUAAGGAUAUAUAUUUUUCAGCUUUUUUAUUUUAUUUGUUCUUAUAAAUGCCUCUCGCAAACAAGUAUUUGAGGAACAGGACUGGGGUAACCUCUUUCAACAAUACUGCCCCAGAAGGUAUUUACAUUAUUGUCGGUUAAAAUGAUGAAUGCAGGAAUUAUCCAGCUACAUUUGUACUAUAGUAUGUGCCAUUGCAGUAUACAAGGUCGUUUUCCUUGUUUGGUUUUGUACCUCCUGUCUUUGACCUAUUGAACGCCAAAACAAACCCACGUAUGCCAAAAUGUGGCAAGACAUUCCAGUCUGUUAUGUAUGUAUACUGAGCAUCAAAAGAAACGUAUCACUUAUAUUUGAGCACCAAAAGAAAUGAAUCACUUAUAUUUGAGCACCAAAAGAAACAAAUCACUUAUACUGGAG